GAGCCUGUAGCCUAAUCUGGGCGGCAUUGUCCGGGAUGAAUAGGGCGACAGCCUCCUAAGCUGUAGGUUCGGGGUUCGAAUCCCCGCAGGCUCG
rnacentral:tRNA from 1 species